GACAGAGGUGCCGAGCGUUAGGCGGAAUCACUGGGCUUAAAGCGUGUGUAGGCGGAUCUGUAAGUACCUUGUGAAAUCCCACGGCUCAACCGUGGAACUGCUUGGUAUACUGCGGGUCUUGAGCCACCUAGGGGCAAGUGGAACAAACGGUGGAGCGGUGAAAUGCGUAGAUAUCGUUUGGAACGCCAAUGGUGAAAACAACUUGCUGGGGGUGUGCUGACGCUGAGGCACGAAAGCGUGGGUAGCAAACAGG
rnacentral:rRNA from 1 species